UACAGAGGUCCCAAGCGUUGUUCGGAUUCACUGGGCGUAAAGGGUGCGUAGGUGGCCAGGUAAGUUUGGUGUGAAAGCUCGGAGCUUAACUCCGAAAAGUCAUUGAAUACUAUCUGGCUGGAGGGUCGGAGGGGAGACUGGAAUUCUCGGUGUAGCAGUGAAAUGCGUAGAUAUCGAGAGGAACACCAGUGGCGAAGGCGGCAUCCUGGACCGAGACUGACACUGAGGAGCGAAAGCCAGGGGAGCAAACGGG
rnacentral:rRNA from 1 species